GUCCCCUUUUAUUGUGUACUAUAGUUUGAGAGUUUUCUCCAGAACUGAUGCUAUAACUUCAUAAACUACAGUUACAUGUAUAUCCGAGUCUGAAUCAGAUAAGUAACAGUGCUCAUGUGUAUUUAUGUAUCAGGAUUCACAUUUCCUUUAAUAGUUACUGAAGUUUGUUUUAUGGUAGGAAAACACAUACUCUAAAGCAGUAAAACGUUUCGAGUUCGAUGGUCAGUUUGGACAAUACAAUUUGGAUUCUUUUGGAGACUGGGAACAACUUUCAAGCUACUUGUCACAAAGUUUCAUUGAACGCCUUGAGCCAACUGGUGGAGAAAUUACAAUUGCAUUGGAGACAUCAUGGUUGGAUAGAGCUCCCCAAACAGAUAUGGAGAGAUGAUUGAUAGAACAACUUAGAGAAGACAAAUUUGCAAAGAAAGGGCUUGUACAGCCCGAGAGGAGAGGAUGCUAUUACACAACUAUCCCCGC